rnacentral:rRNA from 1 species
UACGACUACAUAUCAGGCAUAUCAAUAAGCGGAGGAAAAGAAACUAACAAGGAUUCCCCUAGUAACGGCGAGUGAAGCGGGAAGAGCUCAAAUUUGAAAUCUUCAAGGGUUUGACCUUUACGAAUUGUAGUUUAAAGAAGUGUUUUCUGUUAGAGGAGUAGGCAAAAGUUCCUUGGAAUAGGGACAUCAUAGAGGGUGAGAAUCCCGUAUUUGACGUUAUUCUUUCCUAGCUGUGUGAUACACUUUCGAAAGAGUCGGAUUGUUUGGGAAUGCAGUCCAAGAUGGGUGGUAAAUUUCAUCUAAAGCUGAAUAUUGGCGAGAGACCGAUAGCGAACAAGUACCGUGAGGGAAAGAUGAAAAGAACUUUGAAAAGAGAGUUAAACAGUACGUGAAAUUGUCAAAAGGGAAGCGUUUGACACCAGUGUUGUUUAGUUGAAAAUCAAUUCAAUAGUUUUUGAUUCUAAGUAGUAUUGACUUCAUCAGCUUGCUGCUUUCUUCUCAGAAAUUAUUGAAUGCACUUUUCAGUUAACAAGUCAACAUCAAUUUCUUUCGUUGUAAAAGGGUAAGAGGAAGGUGGCUUGCGCUUCGGCUCAAGUGUUUAUAGCCUUUUAUCUCUGCAAUCGGAGAGAUUGAGGUCUGCAGCGUAGAUCCUUCGGGGUUAGAUACAUUGGUGCUAAGCUAUAGCCUUGUAUAGACAACUUGUUGACUAUGCUCAGUCAUGUAGCUUACUCGCUGAUGCUAUUUUACCUACGCUUAGGAUGUUGAUCUACAGAGCGAGAGU